CCUACGGGAGGCAGCAGUGAGGAAUAUUGGUCAAUGGACGAGAGUCUGAACCAGCCAAGUAGCGUGAAGGAUGAAUGCCCUAUGGGUUGUAAACUUCUUUUAUAUGGGAAUAAAACGUUCAACGUGUGGGAUUUUGUAUGUACCAUAUGAAUAAGGAUCGGCUAACUCCGUGCCAGCAGCCGCGGUAAUACGGAGGAUCCGAGCGUUAUCCGGAUUUAUUGGGUUUAAAGGGAGCGUAGGUGGAUUGUUAAGUCAGUUGUGAAAGUUUGCGGCUCAACCGUAAAAUUGCAGUUGAAACUGGCAGUCUUGAGUACAGUAGAGGUUGGCGGAAUUCGUGGUGUAGCGGUGAAAUGCUUAGAUAUCACGAAGAACUCCGAUUGCGAAGGCAGUUCACUGGACUGCAACUGACACUGAGGCUCGAAAGUGUGGGUAUCAAACAGGAUUAGAUACCCCUGUAGUC
rnacentral:rRNA from 1 species